UUAUUUAAGUAAUAUGCAAUCUAUUGAAGAAUUUCCUUUUCCCUUUUCUCCAUAUUUAAUACAAAAUCAGUUUAUGAAAGAAUUAUAUAAAUGUUUAGAAAAUGCUAAAUUAGGUAUUUUUGAAAGUCCAACUGGUACUGGUAAAUCUAUGUCUAUUAUUUGUGGUGCUCUAAAGUGGUUACUUGAUUAUGAAGAACAACAAAAAAAUCAAUUAACAACUGCAAUUUCUGAACUUGAUCAACAAAUUAAACAAUAUAAUGAUUCUUCUGUUAAUUGGUUUUUUGUACAAAGUCAACAGAUAGAAUUAAAUAACAAACGACAAAUAUUACAAACAAAAUUAAACAGUAUCUUUCAAUAUGAGCAAAGAAAGAAUACAUUAAAAGAGAUAACUAGAAAUAUAUAUAAUAAAAGAAAAAAUUUAAAUAAAAAUAUAAUAAAUUCUAUUAAAAAAAAAGAUGAAACAGAUAAUUCAAUUGAUAAAAACAAUGAAAAUGAAAACAUUGAAGAAGAAUUACUUUUAGAGGAUAUGGAAUAUUUAGAAAAUUUUGAAGAUGAAGACAAAGAAGAAAUUUAUGAAAAUACAAAAAUUUUCUUUUGUUCUAGAACUCAUUCUCAAUUAUCUCAAUUUAUAGGAGAACUCAAAAAGAGUCCUUAUUCAAACAAUGUAUCUGUAGUAACAUUAACAUCUAGGCAAAAUUAUUGUGUUAAUAAAAAUGUAAAAAAAUUGAAACAUUUGAAUUUAAUUAACGAAUGUUGUUUACAAUUGCAAAGAAAAAAGACAACUAUUAAAGAUGAAAAAGAUCUUAAAAGAAAAAAGAUAGUAACUAGUUGUCCCUUUAUACCAGGAAAUCAAGAUUUACUUUUAGGUGAAAUUUUAAUACAGAUUCAAGAUAUUGAAGAAAUUGUUCAAAAAGGAGAAAAUCUUAAAACUUGUACAUAUUAUGCAUCAAGAAAAGCUAUUCCAUAUAGCCAAUUAAUAUUAGUACCAUACAAUUCCAUAUUACAUAAAAACACUAGAAUUAGUUCAGGAAUCAAUUUGAAAGGCAAUGUAUUAAUAAUUGAUGAAGCUCAUAAUUUACUUGAGGCUAUUGAAAAAAUGCAUAGUGUUGUAAUUACAGGUAGAAAUCUAUUGCAUUGUUAUAACCAACUUUGUCAAUAUCAAAAAAGAUUUCAAAAUUUAUUCUCAGCUAAAAAUGUUUUAAGCUUAUCUCAAUUAAAUUUUUGUUUGAGAAAACUUUUAACAAUUUUGGGAGCUACCACAAAAUCAAAUCCUGAUGACUUUAUAGAUGUAAAAAUAUCUCCAAAACUAUAUAAAAUAGAAGAAAUAAUGACAGAAAUUGAUACAGUAAAUAUAUUUGAAUUGUUGAAGUUUAUUAAGAAUUCUCAAUUAUGUCAUAAAUUACAACAAUUCAUAGAACAAUAUGAUACAAAUUUAAAAAUUCAUGAUUAUAAUACAAAAACAUGUGGUAUAAAGCAAUUUUUAAAUUCAAUUAAAACUAAAGAUACAGAAUCUGAUAUAAUAACAAACAUCGAAUUAAAUGAAGAACAAUUAAAUAAUCCAAUAAUAGCAAUUGUAAACUUUUUAGAAUGUUUACAAAGCUGUUCUACUGAUGGACGCAUAUCUGUUAUUCCUGGUCCAACUGUUGGACAAAGUAUUAUGAAAUUUCUUUUAUUAAAUCCAGCAAUACAUUUUCAUGAUAUUGUUCGAGAUGCUAGAGCUGUAAUAUUAGCUGGAGGAACAAUGGCACCAAUGAAUGAAUUUAUAGAACAAUUAUUUAUAGCAGCAGGUGCCACACAAGAAAGAAUUGUUACAUUUUCAUGUGAUCAUGUAAUUCCUAAAGAAAAUAUAAUAUGCAAUAUUAUAACUCAUGGUCCAACUGGUAUUGAAUUUGAAUUUAAUUUUCAAAAUCGAGAAAAUACGAAAUUGUUGGAUGAAUUAGGGAGAACAUUACUCAAUUUAACUAAUAUCAUACCAGCUGGUAUUGUAGUAUUUUUACCCUCCUAUAAUUUUGAAGAACUUGUAUAUAAACAUUUAGAAAAAUCUGGUAUUAUUGCAAAACUUUCUUCAAAGAAACAUAUUCUUCGAGAACCAAAAUUAGCUUCUCAGGUAAAUAAAAUUUUGGAACAAUAUUCAUUUUAUAUAAAACAACCACAAAAUUCACAAAAUGGAUCAUUAUUAUUUAGUGUAGUUGGAGGUAAAUUAAGUGAAGGAUUAAACUUUUCUGAUGAUUUAGGAAGAUGUAUUAUAGUUGUAGGAAUGCCUUAUCCUAAUAUCAAAUCAUUAGAAUUACAAGAAAAAAUGAAAUAUUUAAAUGAAAAUAUUAAACCAGAUGCUGGUCAAAACUUCUAUGAAAAUUCAUGCAUGAAAGCAGUAAAUCAAUGCAUUGGAAGAGCUAUUAGACAUAUUAAUGAUUAUUCAACAGUAAUAUUAUUAGAUAAACGAUAUAUUCAUAAAACUAAAGUAUUACCACAUUGGAUUCAACGUACAUUAAUAAUUCACAAAACUUUUGGUAAAGAACUUAUAUAAAAAAUAAAUAUAGCUUAGACUAGCACUGACGGCGGUUGAACGCCAUUACAUCAUUUAUAAUUUAUAGUUGCCUAAUAUUACACUUGGGCACUCAUGCAUUUAAAAUUUCAAGAAAAAUUACAUACUUUACAUAAUCAAUAUAAAGGAAUGUAUUGAUCAUUAUUACAUUGUUAAGCAAACAAUAACUAUCCAAUAUGUACUUGUAUGUACAAUAGUGAUUAUGUAUAUGGAGUGUCCUUGUUCAAAAAUUUUUAUAAGUAUAUCACACAUUAGAUGAUUAAUAUAAUUUAUAAAUGAACUUAUAAAUAUGUUAAAUAUUUUUCUACAUAUAUUCCAAUCAUUUCAAUAUUAUUUUUAUAAAAGAAAUAUUAUUUUAACUGCACAUGGCAUACUAAAUUAAAGCUAUCACACUAGUAGCUUACAAAUGCAUUAAAAUUGCUACUGUACAAACUUUUCACAUUUGUAUCUAGUGCCAUGGUAUAAAGAUUAAAGUUAAUAAAAUAAUAUACGAAUUUGAUAAUUUAAUAUCAAAGAAAACGUAUAUCUAUUAUACAAUUCUUAUCAAUUACAGAUGUUUCAUACUAAGCAUAUACAGGAAAACAUUGUGUCUUUAGGAAAGGUUCCUACAAUCUAUUGUAUAUAAAAUUAUUCUACAAGUAUAUAUUUAUACAUAUUGUCACAAAGUAAUAUUUAAAAAAAUGAUAAAUAAUCUUGUUAAAUAAUCAACAAUGUUUUCCUGAUUAUAUGUUUCAUUUUACUCAUUGCAAUAUAUAAUUAGUUUCAACAAUUAUUUUUUUCAGUCACAAAAAUUUUGAUGGAAUGUAAAUUAUGAUUAUUAAUAUCUGUAAUAAAUAUGAGCAGACAGUUGUAAAACUAAAGGAACAACAAAGUCUCAUUUCUCUAAGAUGAUAUUAGACAAACAAAUAUAGAAUUUAAUUUUUAAUAUUCUGAAAAAGAAGUUAAUACCAUUUUAAAUUGCAUAAUAUAACAAAUAUAUAGGAUUUUAUAUAUAUUUUUCAGAAUAUUUGAAUUAAAAUAUUUAUUCUUUUUUAUAGUUUUUCAAGUAUUCAUGCAAAUAAUAGAAAUAUAUAAUAUUUAAAUAUACUAAAUACUAACAGCAGAUGCAGGAUGUGCGGAAUGUAUGAAUAAAAUAUUUAUAAUACAUAAAAUAUAAUUUAAAAAUAUUGUGUAGUAUUGAAUGAUCAAUACAAGAAUUAUCUUGAUAUUUAUAUUAUUUCUACAAAAUAUACAUGAGACAUGUCAGUUCUUUAUUAAAUUAAAAACAGUCUAAUUGAAUACAAGAGUCUUUUAUAAGAAUGUCUCAGUAUAUGGAAUGUUAUAUUCUUACUGCAUUUGAUGUUCAAUAUUAAUACAUGAUAAAAUGUUUUGCAGGAGGCAGUGCUUUGACAACGUGCAUCGCUGUAUUUUCUAAUUAUGAUUUGAUAAAUUUCUGCCAUACCAUAAAUUGUUUGAUUCAUGUGAUUGUAAAUUGAGUGUUACUUUCAAGAUUGACAAAACUUUUUGAAUUCCUAAUCAUCUGUCAUUUUAAAUAAGCCAAUGCUAUGAUAAAAAUUCUCUCUCUAAUUCAGAUAUACUUGGUUUUCUAUUUCUAUUUAUCCGUCGAUUAGCUUGCAACGGCACGGUAACAUCUUGAUUUUGUCCAUGUACAGGAAUAUCAAGUAAUGUUUCUCUAUGUUCACGCGAAAUGUUCACUCCAUCUCGAUCAAAUGUUACUGGAGAAAAUCGAACUCUACUUAUAGAAAUUUGACUAUCCUUAGCUGAAACAUAACUUGAAUCCUCUGAAGUUAGAGAAUCUGGUGGAGUAGGAUUUGUUGGAGUACCCGAACCUGAAUUAUUUUUACUUACGCUUUUAUUUGGUGAAUUAUACGAGUAAUUGGAUCGUUUUAAACUUGACCGUAAUCGACUAACUACUUCUAAAUUACUGGGUCUUUCUCCAGAAUUUGAAUUCGAAUCGUGCGAAUUCUGACGCGUCAACAGUUGAGAACCAUAUUCAUGAUUAAGCAUACUAGGACUAUAUGUUCCAACAUUUGAAACAAUAUUUGAAGAUCGUUGAUAAUAAUGUCCAGGUGAAUAUAAGGAAUAAUCAUCCUCAUCUUCUAAACGAAAUGUUGGAUUAAUGUUACUUUGACUCGAUGUACUCGCAUUUGAUACAUUUGAUGAGGUACGAUGAUGAGUAUAUGAAGGAAGUCUUGACAUUGGUCGAGCUGGACUAUUUAUACUGCUUGGAUUAUCAUAAGCAUGUGGAAAUUCAGAACACUCAAGCAUUCUAUCACUAAAGGAAAAAAAAUUAGUAUUUAUAAUAAAAAUUGUUUAUUUUUAUUUAAUAUUAAUGAACUUACUGAUAAUCUGUAGGUACAAAAUAUGUUGGUUCUGGUGAUCUAUAAUAUUCUGGUGGAACAACUGUAUAUACUGGAGGUCCAUAAUCUGGAAAGGGAGCAACAUUGCCCAUAUAUAUUGGCUUGGUGUUGGUGCAUUAGAACUUGUAUUGCUUGCAUAAUGUUGUGGUGAAUCAGUAAAUCUUAGAGGUUUAUCAGGUAUCACACUAGGUGGAAGACCAGGUGCUAUACCACCCAUGUUGCUUAAAAAUGGUCUGUAAUAAUAUUUUAUUUUUAAUAUAUAUAUUACAUUUUACAUUACAUACAUUUUAUUAUAUUUAUAUUUAUAAAUAUAUAAAUAUAAUAUAAUAAAUGUAUAUAUAAUAUAAGUAUAUAAAUCUAAUAAAUUAUGUAAAAAAAAAUAUAAUUACAAAUUUAAUAUAAUUUCAUACCUGUAAUGCCUAGCUGGUCCAUGGUAUGUAUUAUGGGGAUAACCACUACUUGAACUAAAUUCAUAAUCAGGUCCAAGAUAACUGGAAUUACGAUUUGAUCCAGUAUCUGUUUGAAACCACCAUCGUGGAGGUUCAUCUUCACAUUCACCAAGUCGUGGAUAUAAUCUUGGAUGAAUUGGAGAUAUGUUUGACAUUCUUACAUCAUAUCCAGUAGCUACUCCAGCUAACAUAGCUGCGAUAUUAUAUAAAACCAAUUCUAUUACACUUAACUUUGGCUUUUUCAUUUCUCCAUUGUAAAGAGUUGGCAUUGGUACAGGCAUUGGCAUAAUGUAAGGUCCAGUUAAUCCAGGCUUCAAAGGAUAAUCUGAUGUUAUCCAAUCAGUUGAGAGAUCAGGUGGUAAAGUUGUAUAGUCUACAAAAAUAAUCAAAUUUCUACAAUAAUAAUGGUAUAUUUUUAAAAAUUAUGUACUUAUAAUUAUAAAAUAUGAUAAAAAUUUUUACUUUCCUUUCUAUAAUAUCAAAUAUCAAGAUAUUAUAUCAAGAUAGUAUUAUUUUUAAUUUCUUACCUUCAUACACAAAUUUUACAAAUCUCUUAUAAAUAUUGUAUAUUUUUUGUAUUAAAUUUAGAUUAAACAGCUUAGUAUUAAAGUUAUAACAUGCUUAUUUGUUAUUAUAUUAUUCAUAAUAAUUUAUGUGUAUAAGCACAACAUAUUACGUGCAUUAUAUUAAAAUAAUACAUGCCACAAAUUUAAACUAUAUUUUAUUAUCAAUAUUUUCAAAAAGCUUGUACAUUAUUAUUUAAAAUACAUGUUAAACGCAUAAAACCCAUAUCAUAAAAGUAAAUAUAUUAUACAUUUUGAAAUUUUAAAAAUUAAAUAAAAUAUAAAAAAAGGAAAUAAAAAUUAUUUUUAAAAUAAUAACUAAUCUUAAUUAAUUUUACUCUAUACAAUUUUUGCUUUUCUUUUUUUUCAUUUUUUCUUUUUUAUUCAGUUUAGAAUGCUGUUUUCUUACUUACUAUUUAUUAUAAUAUAUUAUCAAUUUUAUUUCUUCAAUAAUAAUAUGUAAAAAAUAUUGAAAAUAUAAUUAUUAUAUUUUAUAUUGAAUAAUUAUUUAUAUUGAAUAUUUUAUAAUUGAAUAAAAUAAAAAUAUUGAAAAUUGAA